rnacentral:rRNA from 1 species
UAUUUAACUGGGAUUAGAUACCCCACUAUGCCAAACCGUAAACUUAAUUACACUCAAAACGCCAGGGUACUACGAGCUUAAGCUUAAAACCCAAAGGACUUGACGGUGUUCCAUCCGACUAGAGGAGCCUGUUUUAUAAUCGAUAACUCACGAUUUACCUAACCAUUUUUUGCUACUCAGCCUGUAUACCUCCGUCGUAAGUCCACCCUGUGAAUGAGGAGAAGUAGGCAAAAUGACUUAUAGCCAACACGUCAGGUCAAGGUGCAGCUUAUAAAAUGGAAAAAAUGUGCUACAAUUUCUAAUUUAGAACACACGAAUUACUGCAUGAAAAAAGGUCAUGAAGGUGGAUUUAGCAGUAAGUGAGGAAUAGAGAGCCCCACUAAUUAUUCCAUUCGGC